AAGUAUUGGGUGGGUUUUAAAUCCACGCAACGGAGCCGCCAACACCCCAUUUGUCUUAUUUAGGUUUCCUAGCAUUUUAGAAGUUGGCCCACUCUUAAGUGAGAUCUGCCCGGGUGACAACCCGGAGGAAGCUGGGGAUGACUGUCAAAUCAUCAUGCCCCUUAUGACUCUGGGUCUACACACCGUGCUNACAAUGGGCGCUAGUACAAAGGGAAGCGAAAUCCUGCUCGAAGCUCCAGAGGCCGAUCUCUGAAACAU
rnacentral:rRNA from 1 species